CAAACUUGGUCAUUUAGAGGAAGUAAAAGUCGUAACAAGGUUUCCGUAGGUGAACCUGCGGAAGGAUCAUUCAUAAUAAGUGUUUUAUGGCACUUUUUAAAUCCAUAUCCACCUUGUGUGCAAUGUCAGUUGAUCUUCUUUAUGGAGAUCGACCAAACAUCAACCUAUUUUUUUAACUCUUUGUCUGAAAAAUAUUAUGAAUAAAUAAUUCAAAAUACAACUUUCAACAACGGAUCUCUUGGCUCUCGCAUCGAUGAAGAACGCAGCGAAAUGCGAUACGUAAUGUGAAUUGCAGAAUUCAGUGAAUCAUCGAAUCUUUGAACGCAUAUUGCGCUCUUUGGUAUUCCGAAGAGCAUGCUUGUUUGAGUAUCAGUAAACACCUCAAAGCUUUUGAUUUUUUUUAAAAGUUUUGGACUUGAGCAAUCCCAACACCAGUCUUUUACAGAUCGGCGGCGGGUUGCUUGAAAUGCAGGUGCAGCUGGACAUUCUCCUGAGCUAAAAGCAUAUUUAUUUAGUCCCGUCAAACGGAUUAUUACUUUUGCUGCAGCUAAUAUAAAGGGAGUUUGACCGUAUUGGCUGACUGAUGCAGGAUUUCACAAGGGUCGGCAACGAUUCUUGUAAAACUCGAUCUCAAAUCAAGUAAGACUACCCGCUGAACUUAAGCAUAUCAAUAAGCGGAGG
rnacentral:rRNA from 1 species